rnacentral:rRNA from 1 species
GGCACGGGGAGGUAGUGACAAAAAAUAACGAUACGGGACUCAUCCGAGGCCCCGUAAUCGGAAUGAGAACAUCCUAAAUCCUUUAACGAGGAUCUAUUGGAGGGCAAGUCUGGUGCCAGCAGCCGCGGUAAUUCCAGCUCCAAUAGCGUAUAUUAAAGUUGUUGCGGUUAAAAAGCUCGUAGUUGGUUCUGCGUGCCACGCUGUCGGUUCACCGCCUGUCGGUGCAACUGGCAUGCCGUGGUAUGUCCUGUCGGUGGCGUACAGGCUUCGCGGUGCUCCCUACACGAUACGUUGUGUAGGUCGUCGCGUCGUACCUGUGCGCCGGCUCAAUCCUACCGCGGUGCUCUUCAUCGAGUGUCGAGGUAGGCCGACACAUUUUACUUUGAACAAAUUAGAGUGCUUAAAGCAGGCUCUUAAAUCAGCCUGAAUAGUGGUGCAUGGAAUAAUGGAACAGGACCUUGGUUCUAUUUUGUUGGUUUUAGGAAUCCAAGGUAAUGAUCAAUAAGGACAGGCGGGGGCAUUCGUAUUGCGACGUUAGAGGUGAAAUUCUUGGAUCGUCGCAAGACGCACUAGAGCGAAAGCAUUUGCCAAGUAUGUCCUAAUUGAUCAAGAACGAAAGUUAGAGGUUCGAAGGCGAUCAGAUACCGCCCUAGUUCUAACCAUAAACGAUGCCAGCCAGCGAUCCGCCGAUGUUCUUUAGAUGACACGGCGGGGAGCUUCCCCCGGGAAACCAAAGCUUUUGGGUUCCGGGGGAAGUAUGGUUGCAAAGCUGAAACUUAAAGGAAUUGACGGAAGGGCACCACCAGGAGUGGAGCCUGCGGCUUAAUUUGACUCAACACG